rnacentral:lncRNA from 1 species
GAUAAUUGAGUAAUGAAGUAACCUCAAUAAUGGUGACGCCAAUACCCUGAAAUUCCUUGUGGAUUUCAAGCUUGGAGGGUCUUGAAUUUUGUGUAACAGGUCGAGCAUAAACAAAAGUAUUGUGACCAGAAGAAACACUUGCUUUCACCAUAUACUUACCGAGGUAUCCAGUACCCCCAAAGAUAAGUUUCUUUGGUUUUGUGUUCUUACCUUUCAUUUCUUCCUUUCAUUUCAAUUUGUCUUUUCAUAUUCCCUUCCCUUUUUACACAUUUAUAUGUUGAAAAUGUGAGACUCGACAGUUCAUGCGGAUAUAAUUGCUGCAAACGAACGGAUAUAAUUGAAGAAACAAAUUUAUGAAUGCUAGAAAUAUCUAAGCAUCUAAUAAAUUUCUUUUAGACAGGUAGAAAUAUCUAGGCAAAAGUUGUUAAAAAUUAGCCACAACGAAAAAUGCUAAAUGUGUGGUCACCUAGUGUUUGUAAGGCCUAUAAAGACAUGGCCGUGUAUCCAAUUCAAGCAAUGAAGUUAAGAACAACAAAAUCUUCCACUAGUAAAAUCCUUUCCACUUCCCUUUAUCUUUGAUCAAAUAUUAUUGAUCAAAAAUAUUUUCUACUUUAAUUAUUUUAGCCCACUAUCUACCCCUGCUCCAACACCUGCCUUCUACUCCCUCAAUUUUUGGGAACCGAAUCUAAAAAUUUUUAUAUCAUUGAAUUUAAAGGGGGAAAGAUCAAAAUGGAAGAUCAGUAUGAUAAGUUUCUUUUGAAAAUGAAUUAUUUUUUCAAUAUUUCUUUGAUAAUGUAUCAUUCUCACUAUAAACUAUAUCGUGAUUAGUUAUGUUUUCUGCUUAUUAUUAUCAUUAUUUUAACAUCACAGCAUUUUUCUAUAGAGUAAAAAUAUAUAAAUGCUUAAAAAUAUGCAUGGAGUUCCAUGCAUGUUCUGUUAUUCUUUCUUUUGAUUUAUUGACACAAAACAAGGAUAAGACUAGUUUUGGAAAAUUAUCACUUUAUGAAUUAACUUCAUUUAAUAAGCAAAAUUAUCCUAUUGUGACAUCAUACCCAAACUGGGAUAAUUAGAUAGUUUUUAUUUCAUUUUCUUGAUUUUUUAAUUAUCUAAUAAUACUCAGACUGUGGGGUAUGGUACCCUUAGUUAAAUACUAACUUCAAACAGUUCACAUUCAAAUUAGUGAUACAUAUCUUACACAAGAAACAUAUUUGGUUAUGGUUAAAAAAUUAUAAAUGAUGAGGGUCUGCUUUGAAAUUUAACCAAAAAAAUUCACGUAUUGACCCACUAGAUUUACACUUUGGCCCAAUGGAAUAGAACAUCAUUCUGGUUCUGCUUGUAGUGAUUUUAUCCUUUUAUGACUUUAUAUAAAAGUAAAUAAUUUUAUUAAAAAAAUUAAAUAAAAAAUCAAAAUUCUUACUCUCAGAUAGCUUUACUAGUUCUUCCUCAGAAACGUGAACUCUUUUGAAACUCCAUCCAGUCUUUUGUUCCCAAAGGGAGAUCAAUUCAAGUUGUGAUAUAAUGCUUGCUUGCGGUCGAUAAAUCACAAUUCGAUUGCAUGUCCUUGGAUCAUUUAUCACUUUGAUUGUACAUUUAGCUAUAUCUUCCUCGUAAUUAAAGACAGCUGAUAUAGAUAAAUAGAUGAUAGAACAUCAAAAAGAUAUUCAAAAAAUGAACUUUUAGUGUAAAUUUUAUUUUAAUAUGCGUGGACUCCUGCAUUGGGAAAGUAUACGUACCUUUUGCUUCACCACUUCCAUAAACAACAACAUCAUCAUGUGAUUCAGAAGGACGAAGCAAGACAUUCACAAAGUAAGCACCACAGAGAUUUGCUGAGACAAAGGUGUAGGGAAUUUGAGCUGCUUCUAUUGCCCUUCUUACUAUUCUUUUUUUCUCCAAGCAAGCUUCAAAAGGGGGCAGAGGCCUCACCCUGUCCUCUUCACAUCCAAACUCAGAUGGAAGAAACCUCUAGCAACCAAAACAUAGUGUGUUUAAGAUUUGUUCUAUAUAAACAAAUUUGAAGCAAUGCAGCACUGAAUUGUAAAAAGACACUAAAAUGUUACGAAGACACAAAUACGAAAUUAAAGUUUGGGAUUUUAGGUAUUUUGCUAAUUAAGUAGCUCUCGUAUAUAUUUUUAUGUCUUUUAUAACUAACUACUAUUGCCUAGUUUAAAUCUACAUUUACAAAAUGCAAACGUCUACACUUAAAAGUUUCUAAUAUUUUUCAAUUAGCGCGAUUUAUUUUAUUUUUUAAAAAGAAAGAGCUUAAUCAAAUACCUUGAUGUUACCAGCAACUUUGAUGGCAUCAACAAUUUUCAGUUGAUCAAGAAACUGAGGAUAAGCUACAGUAGAUAUCACCACAUCUACUUCCUUAAGUAUAGAUACAAUUUUCUCGUGCUCGUCCAGCUCUCCCUGUUUUAAUUUCAACAGUAUUAUUACAAAUAAUAUCGAAGGGCUCCAAUUAGAUCAACACAAAAUUAAUCUCAUAAAAAGAAGUAUCAGAGGUUUGAGGUUCGAAUUUCGCGCGUGCAUUUAAAGGGGGAAAAAAAGAGGAAAAAAAAAAAGAAAAGAAACAAAACCAAAGGAGAUCGAGAUAAUUGAGUAAUGAAGUAACCUCAAUAAUGGUGACGCCAAUACCCUGAAAUUCCUUGUGGAUUUCAACCUUGGAGGUUCUUGAAUUUUGUGUAACAGGUCGAGCAUAAACAAAAGUUUUGUGACCAGAAGCAACACUUGCUUUCACCAUAUACUUACCGAGGUAUCCAGUACCCCCAAAGAUUAGUAUCUUUGGUUUUGUGUUCUCACCUUCCAUUUCUUCCUUUCACUUCAAUUUAUCUUUCAUCCUCCCUUCCCUUUUUACAUAUUUAUAU